rnacentral:rRNA from 1 species
GACGAAGGAUGCAAGCGUUAUCCGGAAUUAUUGGGCGUAAAGAGCUCGUAGGCGGUUAGUCGCGUCUGCUGUGAAAACUCGGGGCUUAACCCUGGGCCUGCAGUGGGUACGGGCUGACUAGAGUGCGGUAGGGGAGACUGGAAUUCCUGGUGUAGCGGUGAAAUGCGCAGAUAUCAGGAGGAACACCGGUGGCGAAGGCGGGUCUCUGGGACGGUACUGACGCUGAGACGCGAAAGCGUGGGGAGCGAACAGG